GGACAGAGCCCUGGCAAGGCCAUUGAGAACUUGAUGGGCAAAGCAACUGAAAAGUCCCAGACCCCCAAGGACAAUGGCACAGCCAGUGCAAAUCUAGCCCCUAAUGGGACAAGUGGUGGACAGGAGGUGGGGGCACCAGAAGAGGAUGAAGAUGAGCUUUUGCGAGUGACUGACCUUGUUGAUUAUGUCUGUAACAGUGAACAGUUAUAAGACUCCUUUCCAUUUCUGUGCUAAUUUAUUCCACGGUAGCUCUCACACCAGCGGGCCAGUUAGUAAAGCUGUUUAAUUUUUCCUAGAAAACUCCACUACAGAACGACUUUUUAGAAGAAAAAUUUCAACAAAUCUUGAAGUCUUUCUGGGAAGUGACCAGUUUUGAACUUUGAAGAUUAAUAAUUGCUGUAAAUUCCUUUUGAUUUUUCUUUUUCCAAGUUCAUGGUCCUUGGUAAUUUCAUUCAUGGGAAAAAAUCUUAUUAUAAUAACAACAAAGAUUUGUAUAUUUUUGACUUUAUAUUUCCUGAGCUCUCCUGACUUUGUGAAAAGGGUGGAUAUGAAUGCAUUCCAAAUCUGUGAGGGCCCAAAACAGAAUUUAGGGUGGGAGAAAGCACUUGUGCUUUAGCUUUUCAUAUUAAAUAUAUAUUAUAUUUAAACAUUCAUGGCAUAGAUGAUGAUUAACGAACUGUUUAAAAGUUCCUGUCUGUACUGUUGCAGUUUGAGUAUUGUAGAU
rnacentral:lncRNA from 1 species